rnacentral:rRNA from 1 species
UACGGGGGGAGCAGGCGUUGUUCGGAUUUACUGGGCGUAAAGAGCGCGCAGGCGGUCGAUCAAGUCGAGUGUGAAAGCCCCCGGCUCAACUGGGGAGGGUCAUUCGAAACUGGUCGACUCGAAGGCAGGAGAGGGUAGUGGAAUUCCCGGUGUAGUGGUGAAAUGCGUAGAUAUCGGGAGGAACACCGGUGGCGAAGGCGGGUCUCUGGGCCGAUACUGACGCUGAGGAGCGAAAGCGUGGGGAGCGAACAGG